rnacentral:ncRNA from 1 species
GGUGGGGAAUUUGACUGUGAUUGUACACUUUCAAAUAGUAACACAGGGGUCCUAAGGCAAGUAAACAGAGAAGAGCACAAGGCUGAAUAUCCACCACUCACUGAGGUGCAGGAAAUGUGGUAUAUAGAAGACUCACUCCCCAACCUGCUAGGGGGUGGGGGGGACAAGCCCUUCUGAUAGAGGGCCAGCCUGUGGAUUGUGUUAAGCCUGUAGUGGCCCCCACAGCACCAGGCCUGGGUCCUUCCAAAGUUGGAUUGCUUGACAAUGCAGCCCAAAGUGGAUGGUAAACUCCAUCUAAGCCUAAAUACUGGCACAAGACAGUCAACAAGUAUCAUAAGGGAUAGUUGAAAAGAAUUUUGAAGAGAGAGUCCAAGAAGGUGUGUGGUGUCCACACAGUCCUCUCAGAG